GUUUCGGUAGUAUAAGUUAGUAUUUCGUCUUUCCAAGUCGGGGGUCUAGAUUUAGUCGAUGCA
rnacentral:tRNA from 1 species